GACAGAGGUCCCGAGCGUUAGGCGGAAUCACUGGGCUUAAAGCGUGUGUAGGCGGAUCGUUAAGUGCCUUGUGAAAUCCCACGGCUUAACCGUGGAACUGCUUGGCAUACUGGCGGUCUUGAGCAACCUAGGGGCAAGCGGAACAAAUGGUGGAGCGGUGAAAUGCGUAGAUAUCUGGAGGAACACCGGUGGCGAAGGCGGCAUCCUGGACCGGUAUUGACGCUGAGGCGCGAAAGCUAGGGGAGCAAACGGG
rnacentral:rRNA from 1 species